GACAGAGGUGCCGAGCGUUAGGCGGAAUCACUGGGCUUAAAGCGUGUGUAGGCGGGUCGUUAAGUGUCUUGUGAAAUCCCCCGGCUCAACCGGGGAAUGGCUGGGCAUACUGGCGAUCUUGAGCAGUCUAGGGGCAGAUGGAACAAGUGGUGGAGCGGUGAAACGCGUAGAUAUCACUUGGAACGCCAACGGUGAAGACAGUCUGCUGGGGACUUGCUGACGCUGAGACACGAAAGCCAGGGGAGCGAACGGG
rnacentral:rRNA from 1 species